GAAAGCACAACGCAAAGCAUGGAUUAAUGCCACCACCACCAAAUUAACCCAUUUUCCAAACUCAUUUGGCCCCUGUCAACUGAAGUUUGGAAAUCACGUUAUGAAAGACACUUGACUGUUGAACUGGAAAGUGCAGUUUCAGAGUCUAUUUGAGGUCUAGGGCAAGGAGUAGGAGCCUUGGAGCUGAACCCAGAUGUGGAGUCCAGGGCGGAUCCCCUGGCACCCUGCCUUUCAGAGGCUCCCAGGGAAAUUCAAAAUCUUCUCAGAGAAGGAAGCUUAGUCGAUGUGGCACAUGGCGCAUCACCAGCUGUUGUCUUCUGGCACAUUGGAAGGAAGCUGGAAAGAGGACUCAAGAUGGACACAGCAGAAGAAAGAAAGGACUGAAAGAAGGAAUUGAGGGCAGCAAAGACAAAAAGAGUUUUUAUCAUAAAUGAAUGCAGAAUUCAUCAGAUAAAGAAUUAAGAAGAGCUGUCCCACCACUCCCAGCCCAGAGGAAGGGGC
rnacentral:lncRNA from 1 species